rnacentral:lncRNA from 1 species
ACUCUGAUGUCUAUGCUUGAUAGACUAAGUAGGCCCAGGAUGCGAUAUCCUGCCGAGUCAGUCUUGUUUGUUUUCUUGUGUCUCUUUCAGCCUGUGUAGAUGAUUGUUUAUGAGCAGUGUUUUAGCAACCAUAUUCCUUCCUUUUGUGCGUGGAUCCCGUCGAGUACGACGGAUGCGUAGGGGUGCUAAUACCUUCCCUUCGCAUAACCGACUCCCGAUCCCAUUCUCUUUGGUCGCGAGACCAUGCUUUUUCCAGGUUUACUCUGAGCGUUUCCUUUCCCUCUUUUGGGAUAAAUAACGCACGGUGGCGGCUCUGUU